UUCCUACUUCACCAGAUAACCUGCCCCCAACACCACUCCAGCUUCUGCCAGACAGAUGGAACUCUCCAACAUGAAAAUCUGCUCAGCCAUUCCAACAAACGGGACUGCCUGAGGUUGUCCGAAGGAUGCUGAGGAAAAAGCCAAGGACUGGAAGCGCUCUUACCCCAAGAUGGAGAUUUCUCAUUGGUCAGUACAAUGAAGGUUGAUGGCAUGAUCGUCCACCUCGCAUCAAAAUAUAACUAUUCAUCGGUGUGCUGUUAUCAAUCAGAGGUUUCCAAAUAUGAGUUCUCCAACUCAAUGAAAAGUAGCUGGUUCCAGGCAGACAAGCAUCUGGGAACUCCCUAAGUGUGCAUGAUAUGUCUCCAGAGAAAGUUGCUUCAGCAUUUUUUUUGGAAUACUUCUCCCUACAGUAUUCUCCAGACUCUAAACUACUAGAUAGGUUCCUAAGUUCAUUCAGAUCUUUCUCAUGUCUGAAUUCUUGGUCCUUUUCCCACCCUCUGGCUCCACAAAUAAAGAAGACAUAAUAAUAA